rnacentral:rRNA from 1 species
CUACGUGCCAGCAGCCGCGGUAAUACGUAGGGUGCGAGCGUUAAUCGGAAUUACUGGGCGUAAAGCGGGCGCAGACGGUUACUUAAGCAGGAUGUGAAAUCCCCGGGCUUAACCUGGGAACUGCAUUGGUGACUGCAAGGCUAGAGUGUGUCAGAGGGAGGUGGAAUUCCGCAUGUAGCAGUGAAAUGCGUAGAUAUGCGGAGGAACACCGAUGGCGAAGGCAGCCUCCUGGGAUAACACUGACGCUCAUGCACGAAAGCGUGGGGAGCAAACAGGAUUAGAUACCCUGGUAGUCCACGCCCUAAACGAUGUCUACUAGUUGUCGGGGAUUAAUUUCCUUGGUAACGCAGCUAACGCGUGAAGUAGACCGCCUGGGGAGUACGGUCGCAAGAUUAAAACUCAAAGGAAUUGACGGGGACCCGCACAAGCGGUGGAUGAUGUGGAUUAAUUCGAUGCAACGCGAAAAACCUUACCUACGCUUGACAU